rnacentral:lncRNA from 1 species
UCGUGAUGAUCCAUUGAUCAGGAGCAUUUAGAAAUUAAUCACCAAUGAUACAUGGCUCAAAUUCUCAACUCUUGAGAAUAUGUAUCAUCAUCUUAUUAAUUCCUUGGACGAUUCAUAGACACAUAAACAAUAUGAAUGAAAAGAAUGCCCAUUUAUUAUUCAAUAAUAAUAAAGUCAAGUACAAAUUUAUGUCCCAGAAUUAAUAAUGUGUCCGCCAGAUUG